AUGGUGGAAGAGGUGAGGGCCGGAGCGCUGGGCCGUGCGGUGGGCAUGGGUGUGGUCACCAGGAGGGUGCUAGCAGCCCCGGUGGUGUGCGCGGCGGCGGCAGAGGGCAGAGGGGCCGUGAGGGAGGUGGCCGGGGCUGCGGUGUCCCUGGGAGUGGCGAGCUGCGUGGUGGAGCCGGUGGGCGUGCUGGCGGGAGGCGAGGGGCCGGCCGUGGUGUGGGUGGUGGGGAGUGUGGUCAUGUCGGUGGGCAGAGGGCUGGUGUGCGGGGUGGAGGCGGAGGCGGAGGCGGGCUCUGGGCUGGGGGCAGGUGGAGGGGAGCGAGGCACCCCCGUGGACGCGGUGGGGCUACUGGUGGCCACGGGAGUGGAGGUGGUGGACGCGGGAGCAUAGAGUGUGCUGCUGGGCGUGGCGGAGGAUGUGACUGACGGCGGAGAGGGCACCCCCGUGGCGACAGGCUGGCUAGCGGUGUCACUGGGAGGAGUCCCCGUGGUGGUGGGGUGCGGGGGCGGCACACUGGCGCUCGGGGCAGGUGGGCUGGCACCCUCGGCCGGAGUGGUACUGGCCCUGGUGCUGCCGGGGGCCGGGGAGGAGGCGCCUAGCGAUGUGGCGGGAACGGCGCUGGAGCGGAAGGGAGUCGCCGUGCUGCGGGGAGUGGUGAAGAUGGAGGUGGCGGCCGGCGUGCUGGCCGAGGUUGCCUGGACAGGGAAGGUGCUGUGUGUGCGGGGGGUGGUGGGGCCGGAGGAGAUGAUCCCGGUGGUGGGGGUGGCCGCGGCCGCGGGCGUGGCCGAGGCCGCGGCCGCGGGGCUGGGGGUGGGUGUGGCUGAGGGGCUGGCCAGAGCGAGUGUGGAGCCGAGGGCCACGGCGGAGGUGGCGGUGGUGGAUGGAGCCGCGGGCCCGCCGGAUGUGGCCUCGGUGGUGACGGGCGCGGAGCUGGGGGCUCCCGUCCCGACCGAGGAGGGAGGGAGAGUCGUGGAUGUGUGCGGCGCGGCGGAGGCCGGGAGGGGUGAGGUGACUGCGGAAGUGAGGGUGCUCGCGCCGGGGUAGAUGGUGGAAGAGGUGAGGGCCGGAGCGCUGGGCCGUGCGGUGGGCAUGGGUGUGGUCACCAGGAGGGUGCUAGCAGCCCCGGUGGUGUGCGCGGCGGCGGCAGAGGGCAGAGGGGCCGUGAGGGAGGUGGCCGGGGCUGCGGUGUCCCUGGGAGUGGCGAGCUGCGUGGUGGAACCGGUGGGCGUGCUGGCGGGAGGCGAGGGGCCGGCCGUGGUGUGGGUGGUGGGGAGUGUGGUCAUGUCGGUGGGCAGAGGGCUGGUGUGCGGGGUGGAGGCGGAGGCGGGCUCUGGGCUGGGGGCAGGUGGAGGGGAGCGAGGCACCCCCGUGGACGCGGUGGGGCUACUGG
rnacentral:lncRNA from 1 species